rnacentral:rRNA from 1 species
AGGGAUCAUUAUAGAGUUUUCUAAACUCCCAACCCAUGGUGAACUUACCUUUUGUUGCCUCGGCAGAAGUUAUAGGUCUUCUUAUAGCUGCUGCCGGUGGACCAUUAAACUCUUGUUAUUUUAUGUAAUCUGAGCGUCUUAUUUUAAUAAGUCAAAACUUUCAACAACGGAUCUCUUGGUUCUGGCAUCGAUGAAGAACGCAGCGAAAUGCGAUAAGUAAUGUGAAUUGCAGAAUUCAGUGAAUCAUCGAAUCUUUGAACGCACAUUGCGCCCAUUAGUAUUCUAGUGGGCAUGCCUGUUCGAGCGUCAUUUCAACCCUUAAGCCUAGCUUAGUGUUGGGAAUCUACUUCUCUUAGGAGUUGUAGUUCCUGAAAUACAACGGCGGAUUUGUAGUAUCCUCUGAGCGUAGUAAUUUUUUUCUCGCUUUUGUUAGGUGCUAUAACUCCCAGCCGCUAAACCCCCAAUUUUUUGUGGUUGACCUCGGAUCAGGUAGGAAUACCCGCUGAACUUAAGCAUAUCAAUAAGCGGAGGAAAAGAAACCAACAGGGAUUGCCUUAGUAACGGCGAGUGAAGCGGCAACAGCUCAAAUUUGAAAUCUGGCCCUUGGGUCCGAAUUGUAAUUUGUAGAGGAUGAUUUUGGUGCGGUAUCUUCCGAGUUCCUUGGAACAGGACGCCUUAGAGGGUGAGAGCCCCGUACGGUUGAAUGCCUAGCCUCUGUAAAUCUCCUUCGACGAGUCGAGUAGUUUGGGAAUGCUGCUCUAAAUGGGAGGUAAAUUUCUUCUAAAGCUAAAUAUUGGCCAGAGACCGAUAGCGCACAAGUAGAGUGAUCGAAAGAUGAAAAGCACUUUGAAAAGAGGGUUAAAUAGCACGUGAAAUUGUUGAAAGGGAAGGAUUUGUGACCAGACUUUUUCUGGGCGGAUCAUCCGGGGUUCUCUCCGGUGCACUUCGCCCAGUAAAGGCCAGCAUCGGUUUUCGGCGUGGGAUAAAAGCAGUAGGAAUGUGGCUCUCUACGGGGAGUGUUAUAGCCUAUUGUAUAAUACCGCGCUGGGGACCGAGGUUCGCGCU